rnacentral:lncRNA from 1 species
CCGAGUCCGGCGGACGAAGUUGGCCAGCCCCACCCCCCAAGGCUAUAGCCCACCCGUUUUUUUGGCCUUUUUCCGCUGGACGAACUUGGCGUCCCGGCCGUCGGGCGGUUAUUUUUGGGCGCGGCUUUCCCCGCGGCCUAUUUUCGUACACGGAGGCCCCUCUCAAAGUCUCGCGGGAUUCCGAGUCCGGCGGACGAAGUUGGCCAGCCCCACCCCCCAACGCUAUAGCCCACCCGUUUUUGUGGCCUUUUUCCGCUGGACGAACUUGGCGCCCCGGCCUUCGGGCAGUUAUUUUUGGGCGUGGCUUUGCCUGCGGCCUUUUUUUUGCACACUGAGGCCCCUCGUAAAGUCUCGCACCAUUCCGAGUCCGGCGGACGAAGUUGGCCAGCCCCACCCCCCAAGGCUAUAGCCCACCCGUUUUUGUGGCCUUUUUCCGCAGGACGAAAUUGGCGCCCCGGCCUUCGGGUUGUUAUUUUUGGCCGUAGCUUUUCCCGUGGCCUAUUUUUGGCACACGGAGGCCCCUCAAAAAGUCUCGCGGCAUUCCGAGUCCGGCGGACGAAGUUGGCCAGCCCCACGCCCGAAGGCUAUAGCCCACCCGUUUUUGUGGCCUUUUUCCGCUGGACGAACUUGGCGCCCCGGCCUUCGGGCGGUUAUUUUUGGGCGCGGCUUUGUCCACGGACUAUUUUUGGCACACGGAGGCCCCUCGCAAAGUAUCGCGGCAUUCCGAGUCCGGCGGACGAAGUUGGCCAGCCCCACCCCCGAAGGCUAUAGCCCACCCGUUUUUGUGGCCUUUUUCCGCUGGACGAACUUGGCACCCCGGCCUUCGGGCGGUUAUUUCUGGACGCGGCUUUUCCCGCGGCCUAUUUUUGGCAAACGGAGGCCCCUCGCAAAGUCUCACGGUAUUCCGAGUCCGGCGGACGAAGUUGGCCAGCCCCACCCCCCAAGGCUAUAGCCCACCCGUUUUUGUGGCCUUUUUCCGCAGGACAAAAUUGGCGCCCCCGCCUUCGGGUGGUUAGUUUUGGGCGUAGCUUUGCCCGUGGNNNNNNNNNNNNNNNNNNNNNNNNNNNNNNNNNNNNNNNNNNNNNNNNNNNNNNNNNNNNNNNNNNNNNNNNNNNNNNNNNNNNNNNNNNNNNNNNNNNNNNNNNNNNNNNNNNNNNNNNNNNNNNNNNNUUGGCGCCCCGGCCUUCGGGCGGUUAUUUUUGGGCGCGGCUUUGUCCACGGCCUAUUUUUGGCACACGGACGCCCCUCGCAAAGUCUCACGGCAUCCCGAGUCCGGCGGACGAAGUUGGCCAGCCCCUCCCCCCAAGGGUAUAGCCCACCCGUUUUUGUGGCCUUUUUCCGCUGGACGAACUUGGCGCCCCGGCCUGCGGGCGGUUAUUUUUGGCCAUAGCUUUGCCCGUGGCCUAUUUUUGGCACACGGAGGCCCCUCGAAAAGUCUCGUGGCAUUCCGAGUCCGGCGCACGAAGUUGGCCAGCCCCACCCCCGAAGGCUAUAGCCCACCCAUUUUUGUGGCCUUUUUCCGUGGACGAACUUGGCGCCCCGGCCUUCGGGCGGUUAUUUUUGGGCGCGGCUUUGUCCGCGGCCUAUUUUUGCCACACGGAGGCCCCUAGCAAAGUCUCGCGGCAUUCCGAGUCCGGCGGACGAAGUUGGCCAGCCCCUCCCCCCAAGGCUAUAGCCCACCCGUUUUUGUGGCCUUUUUCCGCUGGACGAACUUGGCGUCCCGGCCGUCGGGCGGUUAUUUUUGGGCGUAGCUUUGCCCGUGGCCUAUUUUUGGCACACGGAGGCCCCUCGAAAAGUCUCGCGGCAUUCCGAGUCCGGCGGACGAAGUGGGCCAGCCCCACCCCCGAAGGCUAUAGCCCACCCGUUUUUGUGGCCUUUUUCCGCUGGACGAACUUGGCGCCCCGGCCUUCGGGCGGUUAUUUUUGGGCGCGGCUUUGUUUGUGGCCUAUUUUUGCCACACGGAGGCCCUCGUAAAGUCUCGCGGCAUUCCGAGUCCGGCGGACGAAGUUGGCCAGCCCCUCCCCCCAAGGCUAUAGCCCACCCGUUUUUGUGGCCUUUUUCCGCUGGACGACCUUGGCGCCCCGGCCUUCGGGCGGUUAUUUUUGGGCGUAGCUUUGCCCAUGGCCUAUUUUUGGCACACGGAGGCCCCUCGAAAAGUCUCGCGGCAUUCCGAGUCCGGCGGACGAAGUUGGCCAGCCCCACCCCCGAAGGCUAUAGCCCACCCGUUUUUGUGGCCUUUUUCCGCUGGAUGAACUUGGCGCCCCGGCCUUCGGGCGGUUAUUUUUGGGCGUGGCUUUGUCCGCGGCCUAUUUUUGGUACACGGAGGCCCCUCGUAAAGUCUCGCGCCAUUCCGAGUCCGGCGGACGAAGUUGGCCAGCCCCACCCCCCAAGGCUAUAGCCCACCCGUUUUUGUGGCCUUUUUCCGCUGGACGAACUUGGCGCCCCGGCCUUCGGGCGGUUAUUUCUGGGUGCGGCUUUUCCCGUGGCCUAUUUUUGGCACACGGAGGCCCAUCGCAAAGUCUCGCGGCAUUCCGAGUCCGGCGGACGAAGUUGGCCAGCCCCACCCCCCAAGGCUAUAGCCCACCCGUUUUUGUGGCCUUUUUCCGCUGGAUGAACUUGGCGCCCCGGCCUUCGGGCGGUUAUUUCUGGGCGCGGCUUUUCCCGCGGCCUAUUUUUGGCACAUGGAGGCCCCUCGCAAAUUAUCGCGGCAUUCCGAGUCCGGCGGACGAAGUUGGCCAGCCCCACCCCCCAAGGCUAUAGCCCACCCGUUUUUGUGGCCUUUUUCCGCAGGACGAAUUUGGCGCCCCGGCCUUCGGGCAGUUAUUUUUGGGCGCAGCUUUGCCCGCGGCCUAUUUUUGGCACACGGAGGCCCCUCGCAAAGUAUCGCGGCAUUCCGAGUCCGGCGGACGAAGUUGGCCAGCCCCACCCCCGAAGGCUAUAGCCCACCCGUUUUUGUGGCCUUUUUCCGCUGGACGAACUUGGCGCCCCGGCCUUUGGGCGGUUAUUUCUUGACGCGGCUUUGCCCGCGGCCUAUUUUUGGCACACGGAGGCCCCUCGCAAAGUCUCACGGUAUUCCGAGUCCGGCGGACGAAGUUGGCCAGCCCCACCCCCCAAGGCUAUAGCCCACCCGUUUUGGUGGCCUUUUUCCGCUGGACGAACUUGGUGCCCUGGCCUUCGGGCGGUUAUUUUUGGGUGCAGCUUUUCCCGUGGCCUAUUUUUGGCACACGGAGGGCCCUCGCAAAGUAUCGUGGCAUUCCGAGUCCGGCGGACGAAGUUGGCCAGCCCCACCCCCCAAGGCUAUAGCCCACCCGUUUUUGUGGCCUUUUUCCGCUGGACGAACUUGGCGCCCCGGCCUUUGGCCGGUUAUUUCUUGGCGUGGCUUUGCCCGCGGCCUAUUUUUGGCACACGGAGGCCCCUCGCAAAGUCUCGCGGCGUUCCGAGUCCGGCGGACGAAGUUGGCCAGCCCCACCCCCAAAGGUUAUAGCCCACCCGUUUUUGUGGCCUUUUUCCUCUGGACGAACUUGGCGCCCCGGCCUUCGGGUGGUUAUUUCUGAGUACGGCUUUGCCCGCGGCCUAUUUUUGGCACACGGAGGCCCCUCGCAAAGUCUCGCGGCAUUCCGAGUCCGGCGGACGAAGUUGGCCAGCCCCACCACCCAAGGCUAUAGCCCACCCGUUUUUGUGGCCUUUUUCCGCUGGACGAACUUGGCGCCCCGGCCUUCGGGCGGUUAUUUUUGGGCGCGUAUUUGUUCGCAGCCUAUUUUUGGCACACGGUGGCACCUCUCAAAGUCUCGCGGCAUUCCGAGUUGGGCGGACGAAGUUGGCCAGCCCCACCCCCCAAGGCUAUAGCCCACCCGUUUUUGUGGCCUUUUUCUGCUGGACGAACUUGGCGCCCCGGCCUUCGGGGUGUUAUUUUUGGGCGCGACUUUGUCCGCGGCCUAUUUUUGGCACACGGAGGCCCCUCGUAAAAUAUCGCGGCAUUCCGAGUCCGGCGGACGAAGUGGGCCAGCCCCACCCCCAAGGCUAUAGCCCACCCGUUUUUGUGGCCUUUUUCUGCUGGACGAACUUGGCGCCCCAGCCUUCGGGCUGUUAUUUUUGGGCGAGGCUUUGCCCGCGGCCUAUUUUUGGCACACGGAGGCCCCUCGCAAAGUCUCGCGCCAUUCCGAGUCCGGCGGACGAAGUUGGCCAGCCCCACCCCCCAAGGCUAUAGCCCACCCGUUUUUGUGGCCUUUUUCCGCUGGACGAAUUUGGCGCCCCGGCCUUCGGGCGGUUAUUUUUGCGUGCGGCUUUGCCCGUGGCCUAUUUUUGUCACACGGAGGCCCCUCACAAAAUCUCGCGGCAUUCCGAGUCCGGUGGACAAAGUGGGCCAGCCACACCCCCAAGACUAUAGCCCACCCGUUUUUGUGGCCUUUUUCCGCUGGACGAACUUGGCGCCCCGGCCUUUGGGCUGUUAUUUUUGGGCACGGCUUUGCCCGCGGCCUAUUUUUAGCACACGGAGGCCCCUCGCAAAGUAUCGCGGCAUUCCGAGUCCAACGGACGAAGUUGGCCAGCCCCACCCCCCAAGGCUAUAGCCCACCCGUUUUUGUGGCCUUUUUCCGCUGGACGAAUUUGGCGACCCGGCCUUCGGGCGGUUAUUUUUGGGCGCGGCUGUGCCCACGGCCUAUUUUUGGCACACGUUGGCGCCUCGCAAAGUCUCGCGCCAUUCUGAGUCCGGCGGACGAAGUUGGCCAGCCCCACCCCCCAAGGCUAUAGCCCACCCGUUUUUGUGGCCUUUUUCCCCUGGACAAACUUGGCGCCCCGGCCUUCGGACGGGUAUUUUUGGGCGCNNNNNNNNNNNNNNNNNNNNNNNNNNNNNNNNNNNNNNNNNNNNNNNNNNNNNNNNNNNNNNNNNNNNNNNNNNNNNNNNNNNNNNNNNNNNNNNNNNNNCUAUUUUUGGGACACGGAGGUGCCUCGUAAAGUCUCGCUUCAUUCCGAGUCCGGCGGACGAAGGUGGCCAGUCCCACCCCCCAAGGCUAUAGCCCACCCGUAUUUUUGGCAUUUUUCCGCGGGACUUACUUGGCGCCCCGGCCUUCGGACGGUUAUUUUUAGUCACGGCUGUGUCCGCGGCCUAUUUUCGGCACACGGAGGUGGCUCGCAAUGUCUCGAACCAUUCGGAGUACGGCGGAGGAAGUUGGCCAGCCCCACCCCCCAAGGCUAUAGCCCACCCGUUUUUGUGGCCUUUUUCCGCAGGACGAACUUGGCACCCCGGCCUUCGGGCGGGUAUUUUUCGGCGCAGCUGUGCCCGCAGCCUGUUUUUGGCACACGGAGGCGCAUCACAAGGUCUCGCCCCAUUCUGAGUCCGGCGGACGAAGUUGGCCAGCCCCACCCCCCAAGGCUAUAGCCCACCCGUUUUUGUGGCCUUUUUCCGCAGGACGAACUUGGCGCCCCGGCCGUCAGACGGUUAUUUUUGGUCGCGGCUGUGCCGCGGCCUAUUUUUGGCACACGGAGGUGCCUUGCAAAGUCUCGCGCCAUUCCGAGUCCGGCGGACGAAGUUGGCCAGCCCCACCGCCAAAGGCAAUAGCCCACCCGUUUUUGUGGCCUUUUUCCGCUGGACGAAUUUGGCGACCCGGCCGUCGGACGGUUAUUUUUGGUCGCGGCUGUCCCGUAGCCUAUUUUUGGCACACGAGGUGCCUCGCAAAGUCUCGCGCCAUUCCGAGUCCGGCGGACGAAGUUGGCCAGCCCCACCCCCCAAGGCUAUAGCCCACCCGUUUUUUUGGCCUUUUUCCGCUGGACGAAGUUGGCCAGCCCCACCCCCCAAGGCUGUAGCCCACCCGUUUUUGUGGCCUUUUUCCGCUGGACGAAUUUGGCGACCCGGCCUUCGGGCGGUUAUUUUUGGGCGCGGCUGUGCCCACGGCCUAUUUUUGGCACACGUUGGCGCCUCGCAAAGUCUCGCGCCAUUCUGAGUCCGGCGGACGAAGUUGGCCAGCCCCACACCCCAAGGCUAUAGCCCACCCAUUUUUGUGACCUUUUUCCGCUGGACAAACUUGGCGCCCCGGCCUUCGGGGUGUUAUUUUUGGGCGCGGCCGUGCCUGUGGCCUAUUUUUGGCACACGAAGGUGCCUCGCAAAGUCUCGCGCCAUUCCGAGUCCGGCGGACGAAUUGGGCCAACCCCACCGCCCAAGGCUAUAGCCCACCCGUUUUUGUGGAUUUUUUCCGCUGGAAGAACUUGGCGCCCCGGCCUUCGGACGGUUAUUUUUGGUCGCGGCCGUGUCCGCGGCCUAUUUUUGGCACACGGCGGUGCCUCGCAAAGUCUCGAACCAUUCGGAGUACGGCGGACGAAGUUGGCCAGCCCCACCCCCCAAGGCUAUUGCCCACCCGUUUUUGUGGCCUUUUUCCGCAGGACGAACUUGGCGCCCCGGCCUUCGGGCGGAUAUUUUUCGGUGCGGCUGUGCCCGCAGCCUGUUUUUGGCACACGGAGGUGCAUCGCAAGGUCUCGCCCCAUUCCGAGUCCGGCGGACGAAGUUGGCGAGCCCCACCCCCCAAGGCCAUAGCCCACCCGUGUUUGUGGACUUUUUCCGCUGGACGAACUUGGCGCCCCGGCCUUCGGGGUGUUAUUUUUGGGCGCGGCUGUGCCCGCGGCCUAUUUUUGGUACUCGGAGGCGCCUCGCAAAGUCUCGCGCCAUUCUGAGUCCGGCGGACGAAGUUGGCCCACCCCACCCCCCAAGGCUAUAGGCCACCCGUUUUUGUGGCCUUUUUCUGCUGGACGAACUUGGCGCCCCGGCCUUCGGGGUGUUAUUUUUGGGCGCGGCCUAUUUUUGGCACAUGGAGGCACCUCGCAAAGUCUCGCACCAUUUCGAGUCCGGCGGACGGUGUUGGCCAGCCCCACCCCCCAAUGCUAUAGCCCACCCGUUUUUGUGGCCUUUUUCCGCUGGACGAACUUGGCGGCCCGGCCUUCGGGCGGUUAUUUUUGGGGGCGGCUGUGACCGCGGCGUAUUUUUGGCACACGGAGGACGCUCGUAAAGUCUCGCGCCAUUCCAAGUGCGGCGGACGAAGUUGGCCAGCCCCACCCCCCAAGGCUAUAGCCCUCCCGUUUUUGUGGCCUUUUUCCGCGGGACGAACUUGGCGCCCCGGUGUUCGGGCGGUUAUUUUUGGACGGGGCUGUGCCCGUGGCCUAUAUUUGGCACACGGAGGCCGCUCGCAAAGACUCGCGCCAUUCCGAGUCCGGCAGAUGAAGUUGGCCAGCCCCACCCCCCAAGGCUAUAGCCCACCCGUUUUUCUGGCCUUUUUCCGCUGGACGAACUCGGAUCCCCCGGCCUUCCGGAGGUUAUUUUUGGGUACUGCUGUGCCCGCGGCCUAUUUUUGGCACACGGAGGUGCCUCGCAAAGUCUCGCGCCAUUCCGAGUCCGGCGGACGAAGUUGGCCAGCCCCACCCCCCAAGGCUAUAGCCCACCCGUUUUUGUGGCCUUUUUCCGCUGGACGAACUCGGCGCCCCGGCCUUCGGGCGGUUAUUUUUGGGCGCGGCUGUGCCCGUGGCCUAUUUUUGGCUCACGGAGGCCACUCGCAAAGUCUCGUGCCAUUCCGAGUCCGGCGGACGAAGUGGGCCAGCCCCACCCCCCAAGGCUAUAGCCCACCCGUUUUCGUGGCCUUUUUCCGCUGGACGAACUUGGUGCCCCGGCCUUCGGGCGGUUAUUUUUGGGCGCGGCUGUGCCCGCGGUCUAUUUUUGGCACACGGAGGCCGCUCGCAAAGUCUCGCGCCAUUCCGAGUCCGGCGGACGAAGUCGGCCAGCCGCACCCCCCAAGGCUAUAGCCCACCAGUUUUUUUGGGCUUGUUCUGCUGGACGAACAUGACGCCCUGGCCUUCGCGCGGUUAUUUUUGGGCGCGGCUGUGCCCGCGGCCUAUUUUUGGCACAUGGAGGCCGCUCGCAAAGUCUCGCGCCAUUCCGAGUCCGGCGGACGAAGUUUGCCAGCCCCACCCGUUUUUGUGGCCUUUUUCCGCUGGACGAACUUGGCGCCCCGGCGUUCGGGUGGUUAUUUUUGGGAGCGGCUGUGCCCGCGGCCUAUUUUUGGCACACGAGGGCCGGCCGCAAAUUCUGGGGGCAUUCCGAGUCCGGCGGACGAAGUUUGCCAGCCCCACCCCCAAGGCUAUAGCCCACCCGUUUUUUGGCCAUUUUUCCGCUGGGGGGUCUUGGCACCCCGACCUUCGGGGGCUAGUUUUUGGGCGCGGCUGUGCCCGUGGCCUAUUUUUGGCACACGGAGGCCGCCCGCAAAGUCUGGGGCCAUUCCGAGUCCGGCGGACGAACUUCGCCCAAGCCCCCCUCCAAGGCUAUAGCCCACCCGUUUUUUGGCCAUUUUUCCGCUGGGGGUCUUGGCACCCCGACCUUCGGGGGCUAAUUUUUGGGCACGGCUGUGCCCGUGGGCUAUUUUUGGCACACAAGGACCGCCCGCAAAGUCUGGGGCCAUUCCGAGCCCUGCGGACGAACUUCGCCCAAGCCCCCCUCCAAGGCUAUAGCCCACCCGUUUUUUGGCCAUUUUUCCGCUGGGGGUCUUGGCACCCCGACCUUCGGGGGCUAAUUUUUGGGCACGGCUGUGCCCGUGGGCUAUUUUUGGCACACAAGGACCGCCCGCAAAGUCUGGGGCCAUUCCGAGCCCUGCGGACGAACUUCGCCCACGCCCCCCACCAAGGCUAUAGCCCACCCGUUUUUUGGCCAUUUUUCCGCUGGGGGGUCUUGGCACCCCGACCUUCGGGGGCUAAUUUUUGGGCACGGCUGUGCCCGUGGGCUAUUUUUGGCACACGAGGGCCGCCCGCAAAGUCUGGGGCCAUUCCGAGUCCGGCGGACGAACUUCGCCCACGCCCCCCACCAAGGCUAUAAACCACCCGUUUUUUGGCCAUUUUUCCGCUGGGGUGUCUUGGCACCCCGACCUUCGGGGGCUAAUUUUUGGGCGCGGCUGUGUCCGUGGCCUAUUUUUGGCAGACGAGGGCCGCCCGUAAAGUCUGGGGCCAUUCCGAGCCCUGCGGACGAACUUCGCCCACGCCCCCCACCAAAGCUAUAAACCACCCGUUUUUUGGCCAUUUUUCCGCUGGGGGGUCUUGGCACCCCGACCUUCGGGGGCUAAUUUUUGGGCGCGGCUGUGUCCGUGGCCUAUUUUUGGCAGACGAGGGCCGCCCGUAAAGUCUGGGGCCAUUCCGAGCCCUGCGGACGAACUUCGCCCACGCCCCCCACCAAGGCUAUAGCCCACCCGUUUUUUGGCCAUUUUUCCGCUGGGGGGUCUUGGCACCCCGACCUUCGGGGGCUAAUUUUUGGGCACGGCUGUGCCCGUGGGCUAUUUUUGGCACACGAGGGCCGCCCGCAAAGUCUGGGGCCAUUCCGAGCCCUGCGGACGAACUUCGCCCACGCCCCCCACCAAGGCUAUAGCCCACCCGUUUUUUGGCCAUUUUUCCGCUGGCGAACUCGGCGCCCCGGCCUUCCGGAGGUUAUUUUUGGGUACUGCUGUGCCCGCGGCCUAUUUUUGGCACACGGAGGUGCCUCGCAAAGUCUCGCGCCAUUCCGAGUCCGGCGGACGAAGUUGGCCAGCCCCACCCCCCAAGGCUAUAGCCCACCCGUUUUUGUGGGCUUUUUCCGCUGGACGAACUUGGCGCCCCGGCCUUCGGGCGGUUAUUUUUGGGCGCGGCUGUGCCCGUUGCCUAUUUUUGGCACACGGAGGUGCCUCUCAAAGUCUUGCGCCAUUCCGAGUCCGGCGGACUAAGUUGGCCAGCCGCACCGCACAAGGCUAUAGCCCACCCGUUUUGGUGGCGUUUUUCCGCUUGACGAACUAGGCGCCCCGGCCUUCGGGCGGUUANNNNNNNNNNNNNNNNNNNNNNNNNNNNNNNNNNNNNNNNNNNNNNNNNNNNNNNNNNNNNNNNNNNNNNNNNNNNNNNNNNNNNNNNNNNNNNNNNNNNNNNNNNNNNNNNNNNUAGUCCACACGUUUUUGUGGCCUUUUUUCCGCUGGACGAACUAGGGCGCCCGGGCCUUCGGGCGGUUAUUUUUGAGCGGGGCUGUGACCACGGCCUAUUUUUGGUACACGGAGGCGCCUCGCAAAGUCUCGCGCCAUUCCGAGUCCGGCGGACGAAGUUGGCCAGCCGCACCCCCCAAGGCUAUAGCCCACCCGUUUUUGUGGCAUUUUUCCGCUGGACGAACUUGGCGCCCCGGCCUUCGGGCGGUUAUUAUUGGACACGGCUGUUCCCGCGGCCUAUUUUUGGCAAACGGAGGCGUCUCGCAAAGUCUCGCGCCAUUCCGAGUCCGGUGGUCGAAGUUGGCCAGCCCCACCCCCCAAGGCUAUAGCCCACCCGUUUUUGUGGGCUUUUUCCGCUGGACGAACUUGCCGCUCCGGCCUUCGGGCGGUUAUUUUUGGGCGCAGCUGUGCCCGUGGCCUAUUUUUGGCACACGGAGGCGCCUCGUAAAGUCUCGCGCCAUUCCGAGUCCGGCGGACGAAGUUGGCCAGCCCCACCCCCCAAGGCUAUAGCCCACCCGUUUUUGUGGCCUUUUUCCGCUGGACGAAAGUGGCGAACCGGCCAUCGGGCGGUUAUUUUUGGGCACGGCUAUGCUCGCGGCAUAUUUUUGGCACACGGAGGCGGCUCGCAAAGUCUCGUGCCAUUCCGAGUCCGGCGGACGAAGUUGGCCAGCCCCACCCCCCAAGGCUAUAGCGCACCCGUUUUUGUGGGCUUUUUCCGCUGGACGAAAUUGCGCCCCGGCCUUCGGGCGGUUCUUUUUGGGCACGGCUGUUCCCGCAGCCUAUU